rnacentral:RNase_P_RNA from 2 species
CAGGUCGGCCGGGCGAUCGCGGGACGCUUCUUCCGUUGAGGAAGGGCGUCGCGAGGAAAGUCCGGGCUCCGCAGGGCAGGGUGGUGGGUAACGCCCACUCGGGGAAACCCGCAGGCCAGUGCCACAGAGAAGAGACCGCCGCCGCGGGCCACGUCAUUGACGUGGAGCGCGACGGUAAGGGUGAAACGGCGGUGUAAGAGACCACCAGCUCCUCGGGUGACCGAGGAGGCUCGGUAAACCCCACCCGGAGCAAGGCCAGACAGGGCGCGUUCGAGGGCUGCCCGCCCGAGCGCCCGGGUAGGCCGCUUGAGGCCGUCGGCAACGGCGGUUCUAGAUGGAUGAUCGCCUCCCAUGCCGAGGCAACUCGCCAUGGUGACAGAACCCGGCUCACAGGCCGGCCUGACCU